rnacentral:rRNA from 1 species
GACGUAGGGCGCGAGCGUUGUCCGGAUUCAUUGGGCGUAAAGGGCGCGUAGGCGGCGGGGUAAGUCGGGUGUGAAAUCUCAGAGCUCAACUCUGAAAUGGCACUUGAUACUGCUCUGCUAGAGGACUGGAGAGGAGAUUGGAAUUUACGGUGUAGCAGUGAAAUGCGUAGAUAUCGUAAGGAAGACCAGUGGCGAAGGCGAGUCUCUGGACAGCAACUGACGCUGAGGCACGAAGGCCAGGGGAGCAAACGGG